UAAGUCAAAGAUAAUGUCCCUAAUGAAUCACAAGUCACAACAUGCAUAUCCAUUAGAAUCGGAGAGGAUUCCAUGCACCGUCGGGUCACUUGCACCAGCAGUGUGCAAGUCACGUGCGCUGUUAGUUCGUAGGCUCCGUUCGUUGGUCGUUCGUCGGUGAAGAAAAGUCAAACGAAGACCAAAGAAAGCGAAGUGCAGUAGAAAUAAAAUUUACCACAACCGGAUAGCUUUGGCCCCCCCAAAACCUAAUUGAUAAAUCCGAACCUCAACCCAUCCUUGGAGUGGAAUCGUCGAGGUCGCGAUAGAGCAGAGGUCGUGGUAAUCGAAUUCCGGCAAUCUGGUUUCGUAGUGAGUAUCGGAUCUCCACCUCCCUCCCUCCCGACAAGAGCAAGGGAUAGGGGCUAUAUAUGCCGACUGCGGAUAAGUAUUACAUACCUUGUAUCUAUAGUCUUGAAUUUCCUUGUAGAUCUUUCAGUCUUAAAUUUCUGGCUAAAAGUAUAUCCUGACUUCAACUCGAUCAAGAAAAUGGUUACUACUGAGGAAAUGUAAACGUAGAAGGUUGUUGCCAGAUAAUCUGGUAUGUGUUAACAACUUACUGACUUGGUUUGAUUGGAUGCAUGUAUAUGAGCAUGUUUGAUUUUGAGGAUUUAGUUCAUUUUGCUUGCUUCACAUAUAACAAUUGUAGGAGAUUAAUCUGCUGGAAGUACAAUCAUGGAUUCACCUUAUCAACUAAUCCGUUUGAUCCAAAUGUUGAUAAAAAGCAGAGGAUUUAUGCAGGCAAAGAAAGAGACUGCUGGAGGUUAAAAGGUGGUAGUUUGCGUAUGUAACUUGAUUGCUGGAAGCCCCACUCCCUGCUGAAUUCGUUUUUGCAGAAGAGUCUUAGUUUAAUCACUAUUUGUUAAAACAAUUUUAUUCCUUUCAAAAAUAUAUGCAAUGUCAUUGUAUAAUAUAAUAAAGUAAGCUCAUGUUAAGGGUUUAAAAUAUUUAAGCAGACAAUAAGAUUCCAUUGUGUUUUUAGUGUAGAAAUUGCAAUUCAAAAUGCUCAGUAUGUUGUCUUUUAAGGAGAGUUGCAGAAAACGGGAUUCUGAUGUUGUAUUGUGAGUGAAAUUGAAGUUCUCGCCAUUGAUAGAGCUCUUGUGAACCA